AAACCAACCGGGAUUGCCUCAGUAACGGCGAGUGAAGCGGCAAAAGCUCAAAUUUGAAAUCUGGCACUUUCAGUGUCCGAGUUGUAAUUUGUAGAAGUAGUUUUGGGACUGGUCCUUAUCUAUGUUUCUUGGAACAGGACGUCAUAGAGGGUGAGAACCCCGUAUGAUGAGGCCCCCAGUCCUUUGUAAAACGCUUUCGAAGAGUCGAGUUGUUUGGGAAUGCAGCUCUAAGUGGGUGGUAAAUUCCAUCUAAAGCUAAAUAUUGGCGAGAGACCGAUAGCGAACAAGUACAGUGAUGGAAAGAUGAAAAGAACUUUGAAAAGAGAGUGAAAAAGUACGUGAAAUUGUUGAAAGGGAAGGGCAUUUGAUCAGACAUGGUGUUUUGCGCCCUUUGCUCCUUGUGGGCGAGGAUACGCAGCUCACUGGGCCAACAUCAGUUUUGGGAGCAGGAUAAAUCUGUAGGAACGUAGCUUUCUUCGGGAAGUGUUAUAGCCUAUGGGAAUACUGCUACCUGGGA
rnacentral:rRNA from 1 species